GAUCAACGCUGGCGGCGUGCUUAACACAUGCAAGUCGAACGAAGUUUUUCCUUCGGGAGAAACUUAGUGGCGGACGGGUGAGUAACGCGUGGGUAACCUGCCCUGUACAGGGGGACAACAGCUGGAAACGGCUGCUAAUACCGCAUAAGCCCUUAGCACUGCAUGGUGCAUAGGGAAAAGGAGCAAUCCGGUACAGGAUGGACCCGCGUCUGAUUAGCCAGUUGGCAGGGUAACGGCCUACCAAAGCGACGAUCAGUAGCCGAUCUGAGAGGAUGUACGGCCACAUUGGGACUGAGACACGGCCCAGACUCCUACGGGAGGCAGCAGUGGGGAAUAUUGCACAAUGGAGGAAACUCUGAUGCAGCGACGCCGCGUGAGUGAAGAAGUAUUUCGGUAUGUAAAGCUCUAUCAGCAGGGAAGAAAAUGACGGUACCUGACGAAGAAGCACCGGCUAAAUACGUG
rnacentral:rRNA from 1 species